UACGUAGGGUGCAAGCGUUAAUCGGAAUUAUUGGGCGUAAAGGGUGCGCAGGCGGAUGUAUAAGUCAGAUGUGAAAUCCCUGGGCUUAACCUGGGAAUUGCGUUUGAAACUAUAUGACUAGAGUGUGGUAGAGGGGAGUGGAAUUCCAUGUGUAGCAGUGAAAUGCGUAGAGAUCCGGAGGAACACCGACGGCGAAGGCAGCGCCCUGGACGAGACCUGACGCUCAGGCACGAAAGCUGGGGGAGCAAACAGG
rnacentral:rRNA from 1 species